rnacentral:rRNA from 1 species
GUAGUCUCGCACAGAUGCAUAUCAAUAAGCGGAGGAAAAGAAACUAACAAGGAUUCCCCUAGUAACGGCGAGUGAAGCGGGAAGAGCUCAAAUUUGAAAUCUUAAAGGGUUUACCCUUGACGAAUUGUAGUUUAAAGAAGUGUUUUCUGUUGAAGUUUUGGUAAAAGUUCUUUGGAAUAGGACAUCAUAGAGGGUGAGAAUCCCGUAUUUGACCAUUAUUUUCAGCUGUGUGAUACACUUUCAAAGAGUCGGAUUGUUUGGGAAUGCAGUCCAAAAUGGGUGGUAAAUUUCAUCUAAAGCUAAAUAUUGGCGAGAGACCGAUAGCGAACAAGUACCGUGAGGGAAAGAUGAAAAGAACUUUGAAAAGAGAGUUAAACAGUACGUGAAAUUGUCAAAAGGGAAGCGUUUGACACCAGUGUUGUUUUCUCGAAAAUCAAUUAAAAAGAGUUAGAUUUUGUUGUGUAUUGACCUUAACAGCUUGCAUUUCAAUUUUCUUGCUUUUUUUAAUGCACUUUUCGUUUAACAAGUCAACAUCAGUUUCUUUUGUUGUAAAAAGGUCAUUGGAAGGUGGCUUUCUUUUCGGAGAAAGUGUUUAUAGCCUUUGACUCCUGCAAUCGGAGAGACUGAGGUCUGCAGCGUAGAUCCUUCGGGGUUAGAUACAUUUGUGCUAAGUUCAUAGCUUUUUAUAGACAACUUGUUGACUAUGAUUAGUCUUGUAGCUUACUCGCUUAUGCUAUUUUACCUACGCUUAGGAUGUUGAGCGCAUGUCUCUCUCU